AGUAAAAGUCGUAACAAGGUCUCCGUUGUGAACCAGCGGAGGGAUCAUUACAGAGUUAUCCAACUCCCAAACCCAUGUGAACUUAUCUCUUUGUUGCCUCGGCGCAAGCUACCCGGGACCUCGCGCCCCGGGGGGCCCGCCGGCGGACAAACCAAACUCUGUUAUCUUCGUUGAUUAUCUGAGUGUCUUAUUUAAUAAGUCAAAACUUUCAACAACGGAUCUCUUGGUUCUGGCAUCGAUGAAGAACGCAGCGAAAUGCGAUAAGUAAUGUGAAUUGCAGAAUUCAGUGAAUCAUCGAAUCUUUGAACGCACAUUGCGCCCAUUAGUAUUCUAGUGGGCAUGCCUGUUCGAGCGUCAUUUCAACCCCUAAGCACAGCUUAUUGUUGGGACUCUACGGCUUCGUAGUUCCCCAAAGACAUUGGCGGAGUGGCAGCAGUCCUCUGAGCGUAGUAAUUCUUUAUCUCGCUUUUGUUAGGCGCUGCCCCCCCGGCCGUAAAACCCCCAAUUUUUUCUGGUUGACCUCGGAUCAGGUAGGAAUACCCGCUGAACUUAAGCAUAUCAAUAAGCGGAGGAAAAGAAACCAACAGGGAUUGCCCCAGUAACG
rnacentral:rRNA from 1 species